GAAAUUGUUAGGAAAAUAAAGAGCGCAAUGUACUUCUCUGUCAUACUUGAUUGUACCCCAGAUGCAAGCCAUCAAGAACAAAUGUCUAUAAUCAUAAGAUAUGUUUAUUCAUCUUCAAGUCAUGUUUGCAUAGAAGAAUCCUUUCUAGGAUUUUUAGAUGUAAAUGAUAUGACUGGGCAAGGACUUUUUGAAGUGCUAGAGAAUGAACUAAAGCUUCUUGAUUUUGAUAUAGAUAAUGUGAGAGGACAAGGUUAUGAUAAUGGGUCAAAUAUGAAAGGAAACCAGCAAGGUGUCCAAUGGAGACUUCUGAAUGUAAAUCCUAGAGCAUUCUAUUCUGCUUGUGUUUGUCAUAGCGUUAAUUUAAACCUUUGUGAUAUGGCUAAGACCCGCGGUAAAGCUAAAGACUUAUUUGGAAUUGUCCAACACAUAUAUACAACUUUUCCUAAUUCUACUAAAAAAUGGCAGAUUCUAAAAAAUAACAUAACAUGAUUAACUCCCAAGUCAGUGUCAGCUACACGUUGGGAGAGUCAUGUUGACAGUGUUAAAGCUAUUUGACUUCAAUGUGCAGACAUUCGGGAGGCCCUACAUCAGGUAUCUGAGACUGAUAAUGAUACAAAAAAGACCAGUGAGGCUAAAGGUUUGACAAAUAAUGAAUUUGGAUAGUAUGAUUUCAUAGUGGCGAUAGUUAUUUGGUAUGAGGUAUUGUAUGCUGUUAAUUUAGUAAGCAAACACCUGCAAGCAAAGGAUAUGCUUAUUGAUGUUGCUAUUGAGAAAGUGCAAGGAUUGCUUUCUUUCUUCAAUGGGUAUAGGGAGACUGUGUUUUUAGAAGCAUUGGAGAUAGCCAAAGGAAUUGCACUUGAGAUGGAUAUUGGUACAACAUUUAGCAAAAGACGAGAAAUUAAUAGAAAGAGGCAUUUUCAUGAGAACCCAGAUGACACGGAUGUUGCCACACAGUCUGCGGAGGAAUCAUUCAAAGUCAAUUAUUUUUAA
rnacentral:rRNA from 1 species